GUGCCUUUCUGCAGCCCCAGGAGGGCGGGGAGGGUGCAGGAGGUCAUCGUGGGGCUGGAGCGGCUGGCCUUCGCCUUCGAGAAGGAGGUGGAGACGCAGAAGGGCACUGGGCUUCUGAUUUCCAGGCCAUGGACAGGGACUGCAACAAUAAGGAACGUCCGUUCCUCCACGUGAAGCCGGCCUUCAAGACCCAGCACUGUCCGUGGUACGACCGAGGUUUCUGCAAGCACGGUCCACUGUGUUAAGUACCGACAUGUCCGCAGGACAAAGUGUACUAACUACUUAAAGCUGGCUUCUGCCCGGAAGGACCCAGUCCUAAGAUGAAUGUUUCAUUCAACCCAAGCUACCUGAAGCUUGUCAAGCAGCCCCUGGGGUCCGUACUUCCUCCUGCCUGGGAACACCGCGGGGCCCCCUCCCUGACAAGAGUGCCUGCCUCCUCAUCCUCAGACGAGGCCCCAUGAGCCGGGGGCCGCCCACUGCCUGGGGCUCAGGUGCUGGAGCAGGCCAUGCUACAGGGUGAGUGAUGAUGGAGCUGGGCUGCUGCCGGGCUGAGGACCAGGGGAGGGGUGAUUAGCAGCAGGUUAAGAAGCCAGACUCAGGUUUUGGUGAAUUAAGAGAGAAUGGGGCAAUUUGGCUGAUAAACCAAAUGUUCUGAUUGUAAGGUCUCAACCUUACUUUAUUUGCUUCCCCUGCCAGUUUCUUUCUUUAAAAGGCUAAGGAGUUAGACAUCUUCCAGGCCCUGUUUUGCUGCCCAGUGAUCCCUUGAGUUAUUUAUACAUAAUGGUCUUAAGAUGUGCUGGGGGGAGGGGGCAGCUUGGUAAGGAAGGGGAUGUCACGCAGCUUGCGUUUUUUAAAGAAUUAAUUUUAUUUUUGGCUGUGCUGGGUCUCCAGUUGCGGCCAGCGGGGGCUCUUCUCUAGCUGUGGAGCUCGGCCUUCUCGUCGCGGGGGCUCCUCUGGCUGUGGAGCUCGGCCUCCUCGUCACGGGGGCUCCUCUCUAGCUGCGGAGCUCGGCCUUCUUGUCGUGGGGGCUCCUCUGGCUGCGCUCAGCCUUCUCGUCGCGGGGGCUCCUCUGGCUGCGCUCAGCCUUCUCGUCGCGGGGGCUCCUCUGGCUGCGCUCAGCCUUCUCGUCGCGGGGGCUCCUCUGGCUGCGGAGCCUGGGCUCUGGGCCCGGGGGCUCAGUAGUUCCCCACACAGGCCUAGUUGCCCCACUGCCUGUGGGGUCUUCCUGGAUCCGGGAUUGAACUCGUGUCCCCCGCAUUGGCAGGCGGAUUCUCAACCACUGGACCACCAGGGAAGCCCACACUUUGCCUUUCCUGGUUGCUAUCUUUGGUUCAUCAGGAAGAAAACCAUCAUGUUUCACUCCUUCAAGAGACAGAAUGUAAAUUGUCCUCUGCAUUCUCUGUUUUGCAAGACGGCAGUAGUGCAGGGAUGAGAGGUGAGGGGGGCACAGGGCUCGCCCUCCUCAAACGAUGCUGUCCUCCUCUUUACGUGUCCAGCCCUGUUCUCUGGGUUAGCGAUGCUGGGUGUGGAUCUCAAGGCCUUUCUCAGGCCAAACAAGGAACUUCAUUUAAGAGUAGAAGCCAGGUUCCUCAGUAAGCCAGCUAACGGUCUCCUAUGCUGCCCAGGAGAAUUCGGCAUUUUUUUUCUCUUGGGAUGUGAAUUUACAAAAAGUCACACGGUUAACUUUUUCUCUUUUAGUGUUGAAAAAUGAGCUGUUAUGCCAGUAAGUGUCAACUGGUAGGAUUCAUUAAAACACAAGACCCCACGUUGGUCUGGGGAACUGGAGGACCUUCUGUAGUGAAGAUGCUGGAAGGCCGUGCUGCCCGCUAACCAGCACAGAGGAGGCCGAAGCAGCCUGCUUCCCGCUUCCUCUUCUCCUCUAAGUGAGCGAGCUGCUGAAGACACAGCAGGAGUGGGGGCUCACUGUCCGUGGCAGCAACGAGUUAGUCGUAGAGCAGGGAAGUGCAAUGCCCGCACGGCCAGCUUGAGGGUGCAGCCUGCUCGGCUCCCCAUGGCCGCAUGCACACAGGCACGCCGCUCCCGGGCACUUGCGCUGCACCCAGCCUGAGCUACUGCUGUAAACUGGCGAUUAAAUCAAGUUUCUUUUGCACGACAGCUGCUUCCCUGGACGGCUUCCUUAAAUUCAGGAUUUGAUACUGUGCUCGUCUUACGUGAGGGAUCACGGGGGCAGGGAGGGGAGGUAGACGGUACCAACGAGGCUUGGCCCAGGAGGUGAGGAAGUGACGUGGGGCAGCGAGCACCAUGUGAUCUACAUCAUCGUCUAAGUCAGCCACCUGGGCAGCCUAACCCAUGGGGCGAGGCUGGGGGAGGCCAGGCCAGGCCCGCUGGAGGAAGAGAAGAGGGAUGGUGUGGAGGGACCAGGCCCGCCGGUCUUGCAGACACAGGCAGCGGCCUUAUCCCGCUUGGUGGAAGGGGAGAGGGCGGGGGGCAAGACCAUCCAAGAGCACGCUGGCCCAGCAGACAGCUCCUCCCUGGGCGGGUAUGUGACAC
ensembl:lncRNA